AAGAAAAUUCAAAGCUGGGAAAAAGGGGAAAAACAAAAGCACCGGAAAACGCAGCAGCGUCACCGGAGAUCAUGGCUUCCGGCUAUUUCAGCGUCUAUGCCGGUUCAAGUAGUGUGAGAAAUCAAUCGGCGGAGAAACGAACCGAGAGAGUCACGGGAACCCUAGACUGAAUUAGUAAUUUACCGGACAUAGUCCUCGUUCAAGUUCUAUCUCUUUUGCCGACGAAGGAUGCUUUCAUAACUCGUCUCGUCUCAGAACGGUGUCAGUAUCUCUGAACUUCAGUUGAUUGCUUAUAUUUCUGUUUCCCAUAUGAUUUGAACCUUAAAAACUUCAUAUCCUUUGUGGACUAUGCAUUUAUCGCACUUUUUCAAAAAUUAAAAUAUUUUAUCUCGAUGUUGACUUGCGUAGAUAUGAUUUCAAAAUCAGCCGAUGGCUUAAUAUUGCUGUGGAUAACAAAGUGGAAGAUGUUAUUGUAUUCAAGUAGUGAUGGCAUUUACAAAUUACUUCAAAUGCAUAUGCACUUGCUCGUCAUUGAUAAAUUUGAAUUUGGGGCAUUGUGCAUUAGGUAGAGCACUUGCUUGUUAUUACGUGGAAGGCUCUGAGAACUUUGACACUUUUCUCAGUAGGGUUAGAUGAUGAAACUGUUGCGAACUUACUGUUGGGUUUUCCUGCUUUGGGGACUUCGGAAUUGCUUUUUGUUAAUGGUUUCCGUAAGCGGAAAAUUAGACCUUCGAAUUUAAAGAAGCUAAAGCUGUAGAACUAUUUGCUAUUGGAUAAGGGAGGUGAUCAUUAAUGGGGAUUUUUUGCGCUUUAUCUUCAGCAUUUGGAGAUUUCAGGAUAUCUUUGAUGAUCUCAAGUGUUGGCAAGUAAAUUUAUCCUCCAUGGUCAACACUACGGUUACCUUUGCUAUUAUUUGUGUGGCAGACUCCUGGGUUGGUGUUGCUGAAGAAGAGAGUUGUCAUGAUUAUCGUCAAGUUCAGGGUCCAAGAUUAUCUUCAAAACUUGACUCGUGCAACUGAGCUAACAAUAGAAGCUGCGUUCGUGGAGGUCAUGCUCGUGUUGCAGCUCAAAGGAGUGGCGCUUCCAUAAUUGAAAUGCAAAUGUUUAAUGCUAGAGUUGCAUAUAACAUAGGAUAAUUUGUGUGGGGUAGCUAGCCUUUUGCAGGCCUCUCCUAACGUGGAGACAAUCAACAUAUAAUUGGAAUC